rnacentral:rRNA from 1 species
GUAGGGAAUAUUGGGCAAUGGAGGCAACUCUGACCCAGCCAUGCCGCGUGCAGGAUGACGGCCCUCUGGGUUGUAAACUGCUUUUAUACGGGAAGAAAAAAUACUACGUGUAGUAUACUGACGGUACCGUAAGAAUAAGGAUCGGCUAACUCCGUGCCAGCAGCCGCGGUAAUACGGAGGAUCCAAGCGUUGUCCGGAUUUAUUGGGUUUAAAGGGUGCGUAGGCGGAUCUUUAAGUCAGUGGUGAAAGCCUGCAGCUUAACUGUAGAAUUGCCAUUGAAACUGAAGAUCUUGAAUGUGGUUAAAGUAGGCGGAAUGUAUCAUGUAGCGGUGAAAUGCUUAGAUAUGAUACAGAACACCGAUAGCGAAGGCAGCUUGCUGAACCAUUAUUGACGCUGAGGCACGAAAGCGUGGGGAGCGAACAGGAUUAGAUACCCCUGUAGUCC